rnacentral:rRNA from 3 species
UUAAAUUGAAGAGUUUGAUCAUGGCUCAGAUUGAACGCUGGCGGCAGGCCUAACACAUGCAAGUCGAACGGUAACAGGAAGCAGCUUGCUGCUUUGCUGACGAGUGGCGGACGGGUGAGUAAUGUCUGGGAAACUGCCUGAUGGAGGGGGAUAACUACUGGAAACGGUGGCUAAUACCGCAUAACGUCGCAAGACCAAAGAGGGGGACCUUCGGGCCUCUUGCCAUCAGAUGUGCCCAGAUGGGAUUAGCUGGUUGGUGAGGUAACGGCUCA